GCCUGUAAUCUCAGCUACUUGGAAGGCGGAGGCAGGAUAAUCACUUGAACCCGGGAGGUUGCAGUGACCCCAGAUAAUGCCACCCCACUCCAGCCUGGGCGACAGAGCGUCACUGUCUCAAAAAUAAACAAAAAUAAUAGGAGAUUAGGCAAAAAGGAUAGUACAAGGCUCUCUGUUUAACAUUUCUUCCUUUCUCUAGAAAAUUUUCCUUUCUUUUCCCAAAAGGAGGUGUGUGUUACUUCCAAUGCUAUAUUUUAGUAGCUUUACCAUAUUUUAGUUUUUAAAAUUCAUUAUUUUGAUUUCUCAGCUUUCAUUUUCAUUUCAGUUUGUACCUGAAGGAGAGAAGCAUGGAUUGAAUUUGCCUGGGUUUUCCGAAUUUCAUAAUAUAAAUUUAAAACUCAGAAGUGGGAGGAAUACAGGCCUUGAUUAGUGAAUUUCAAGCUCAGUUCUCGGGGUGAAGGACAAGGUUAAUUCUACUCUGAGUAAUUCUACCGUUCAGAAAACCUGGUGUGUCUACAGGAAAAAAUACAGGCUGUGACUACAAACCUAAAAGUAAAGGCAAACAACUGCCAGACAGAGGCAGGAAAGUGGGGGAGAGCCCUUGGUAAAUAUUGCAUGCCUCCUGGGGCCCCCAUGGGCUUUGACUCAAGGGGGAGAUGAAGGGAAUUUGUUAAAGAAAGAAGUCACUGGGACAGACAAAAGCUUCCGGCACAGGAAGUUAGUUCGACUAAGGAUACCGAAAUGUAGGAAUUUGAAUGGGUUCCUGGGUGUGAGGUUGAAGUGAAACUUGAUUGAAAAGAAGCUGCUGGUGGUGAGUCUCUCCUUAAGCUAUUCCUGGCUUCUGGGUAGUUGGUGUAAACUCUGUGGUCCUUGAAUAAAGUGUGCUUGAGAAUUUU
rnacentral:lncRNA from 1 species